CUGGAAUUCUGAAAUAUUCCAUCAGCCAAAAUUGUCCACAUUGGUGCCUAAGAUUGCUGAUCAACGCCAGAUCCGUCAAUGGAAUCCCACAGGAUCAGAGAAGAAAGAAGUGGAGUGGCUGCCUUAUAACCCUACACAGCAGAACUUCUUCCAUCUUAGCACUGAGCAAGCUCAGGUUAUGCCGGUAUCGCCUGCUCGACACUGUGGCCUUUUUGCUACAAAUCGAAGUGAGGCCAGCUCCAUCAUAUGUUGCAUAUCUCUGUGGGCCAUGAUGCUGAUGUUUCUAAUAAGAUUAAUUGUGUUGGAUUAGCUAAUAGCUAUCUUUAUAUUAUCAUAUGUGUUGUAAUGGGCUUGGUCCCCUCUUAUGUUCCUGAGUAAGAGAGGGGACCUCAAAAUUCUAUCAACUGCUACUACUUACUAAUCUACCCACUUAUUUAAGCUGCAUCUAUGCUGUAGAUUAAUACAGUUUGACAUUGUUGUCCAAAUUAGGCUCCAUCCGCAAGGUGCCAGGUUUCAAUAUUUCUCAAUCAAAACACGCAGAGAUGAGGGCAAAAUCAAAGGUCAAUUUUAUUGCUUCAUUGAUCAAGGAAGGAUGUUAGGGAAGAGAGAGAAUCCUAAAUCUGACAUACCUUCUGUUAUUGGCUGUCAGUAUUGUGUGGUGGACUUUGUUCUAAUUGACACGAAGUUACAGUCUAUUUUCUUCUUGGUCUAAUCUGCCUUCAUUGUUGUCAUGUUUUACAACUGUGAUCGCUGCACUGUGUAUGGAAGGAACUUUAAUAAAGCUUUAUUGGAGAAAAUCUGUCUUUGUUGCUUUGCUGUUUUCAG
rnacentral:lncRNA from 11 species